CUGGCGGCAGGCUAACACACUGCAAGUCCGAACGGUACAGGAUGUGCUUGCACAUCGCUGACGAGUGGCGGACGGGUGAGUAAUGCUUAGGGAUCUGCCUCUGUGUGGGGGAUAACUAUUGGAAACGAUAGCUAAUACCGCAUAAUGUUUACGGACCAAAGGGGGCGUUUGCUCCCGCGCAGAGAGGAACCUAAGUGAGAUUAGCUAGUUGGUAAGGUAAUGGCUUACCAAGGCGACGAUCUCUAGCUGUUCUGAGAGGAAGAUCAGCCACACUGGGACUGAGACACGGCCCAGACUCCUACGGGAGGCAGCAGUGGGGAAUAUUGCACAAUGGGGGGAACCCUGAUGCAGCCAUGCCGCGUGUGUGAAGAAGGCCUUCGGGUUGUAAAGCACUUUCAGUUGUGAGGAAAGGUUAGUAGUUAAUACCUGCUAGCUGUGACGUUAGCAACAGAAGAAGCACCGGCUAACUCCGUGCCAGCAGCCGCGGUAAUACGGAGGGUGCGAGCGUUAAUCGGAAUU
rnacentral:rRNA from 1 species